GUAUCUUACUACAGAGAAAAUACUACGCUAUUGUGUUUUUAUUUUUCCAAAAAUAAAGUAGUUAACCGAAAAAAAUGUGCAGUAUAUUUAUAAAAGACACAUUAAACCAAGCACAUCCUGAUGAAGAAGUUGUGACGGCAGAUGACGAUGAAGUUAAAAGUUCAUAAAAAAAUGACAAAGAUAGUUAACGCAGUGCAUAUUUAUGGCGCGGAAGACGAAUUUUCAAUUGUUUAUGUUUAGAAUAUUUAUUUAACACCUUUG
rnacentral:lncRNA from 1 species